UACAGAGGGUGCAAGCGUUGUUCGGAAUCAUUGGGCGUAAAGCGCGUGUAGGCGGUCCGGUAAGUCCGCUGUGAAAGUCGGGGGCUCAACCCUCGGAUGCCGGUGGAUACUGUCGGGCUCGAGUACGGAAGAGGCGAGUGGAAUUCCUGGUGUAGCGGUGAAAUGCGCAGAUAUCAGGAGGAACACCAAUUGCGAAGGCAGCUCGCUGGGACGUUACUGACGCUGAGACGCGAAAGCGUGGGGAGCAAACAGG
rnacentral:rRNA from 1 species